rnacentral:rRNA from 1 species
CCUACGGGCGGCUGCAGUGGGGAAUCUUGCACAAUGGGGGAAACCCUGAUGCAGCGACGCCGCGUGGAGGAUGAAGGGUCUAGGCUCGUAAACUCCUUUUUCAGGGAAAGACUUAGGACGGUACCCUGAGAAUAAGCUCCGGCUAACUACGUGCCAGCAGCCGCGGUAAGACGUAGGGAGCGAGCGUUGUCCGGAUUUACUGGGCGUAAAGAGCACGUAGGCGGUCUGUUAAGUGAGAAGUGAAAUCUCCAGCGCUCAACGCGGAAACGGCUUUUCAUACUGGCAGACUUGAGGGAUGCAGAGGCAAGUAGAAUUCCUGGUGUACCGGUGACAUGGGUUGAUAUCAGGAGGAAUACCAAUGGCGAAGGCAGCUUGCUGGGCAUCAUCUGACGCUGAGGUGCGAAAGCGUGGGUAGCAAACAGGAUUAGAUACCCCGGUAGUC